AUUGAACGCUGGCGGCAUGCCUUACACAUGCAAGUCGAACGGCAGCGGGGGAGAAGCUUGCUUUUCCUGCCGGCGAGUGGCGAACGGGUGAGUAAUACAUCGGAACGUGCCCUGUAGUGGGGGAUAACUAGUCGAAAGAUUAGCUAAUACCGCAUACGACCUGAGGGUGAAAGUGGGGGACCGCAAGGCCUCAUGCUAUAGGAGCGGCCGAUGUCUGAUUAGCUAGUUGGUGGGGUAAAGGCCUACCAAGGCGACGAUCAGUAGCUGGUCUGAGAGGACGAUCAGCCCCACUGGGACUGAGACACGGCCCAGACUCCUACGGGAGGCAGCAGUGGGGAAUUUUGGACAAUGGGCGAAAGCCUGUUCCAGCAAUGCCGCGUGUGUGAAGAAGGCCUUCGGGUUGUAAAGCACUUUUGUCCGGAAAGAAAUGGCUCUGGUUAAUACCUGGGGUCGAUGACGGUACCGGAAGAAUAAGGACCGGCUAACUACGUGCCAGCAGCCGCCGUAACAC
rnacentral:rRNA from 1 species